GAAAUUUCUCAGUGUACCUACAGCUGCAGAGACAUUUGAUGCUGCUACAUCUGGAAUUAUUCAUAGUACUCCUGGGCCAUCUACUGAUCCUAAGGUGAAACUUCAGUCUUCACUCCAACCGAGGAUUGCAUACUGGAUUGCACUACUUGCACUGACUGUGUCAUAUGAUGAGGUGAUUGAUGAUUUUGCAGCCAAGAAGUCUCGCAAAGGCCCCACAACCCUUCAAGCCGGCACUGGUCAUGAUGGUCAGACAGCAGGUGGAUUAUGAUGAUCGGAUGUUACCUGGAGCUGGCAGAAACUGGACAUAUCAAAGAAGCUAACACUGAAGAGACAUCUGAUGCUGCCGAGUCCAAAAUGGUGCAAAAAUGGAGAUGUAUGAAAAAUGGUGUAUGUUUGGUUCCACCUGAUAAAAGCACAUAAUAGCCAGAUUCGGAGGUUACCUGGACCUGGCGGAAACUGGACAUAUCAAAGGAGCUAACACUGAAAAGGUAUCUGAUGCUACCGAGUCCAAAAUGGUGCAAAAAUGGAUGUAUAAAAUGUAAUGUAUAAAAAUGGUGUAUGUUUGGUUCCACCUGAUAAAAGCACAUAAUAACCAGAUUUGGAGGGUAAUUGGUUCUCAUGGUGACGUAAGCAAUUUUCAACAUUUACAGGUAUUAGUCUGUGAUUUUAUUGCCAUCUGAAUCCAGAACGUUAAUGUUUUUCACCCACCAUCCCAAUAAAAAUCCCCGGCCGAACUACCAAGGUCAUGUGUUAAUUUAAUUGCUGUCCAUCUCAUAGAAUAAAUCGUUUACUUUUCAUGCUGAAAAAAAGAAUACUGAAAUGCUAGAAGGUAUUUACAAGAAUAAUAUUUCAUAGCUUACAAUUUUAAAAUAUGCCUACAAUUACAAACAUAAAAAUGCAAACCAAGCAGCUUUGUUUGCCUUGUGUAAAUAAGAGGUUGCAUUUACUUAUUAAUGCUAUAAUCUCCACAUUUU
ensembl:lncRNA